GAAUAGAUUAUCCUCCCUGACCGUACCAAGAGCAAGGCAUAAGUCCCAGCCCCAUGUCAUCAUGUACACUCAUUAGGACAAGUAGCACUAUCUUGCACACAGGUGCUUUUGUCAAUUAAACAAAGUGAUGAAUUUGUUGCGCUAGCAAACCUCAAUCAUUUGACACAAGAUGCUCACGGUUUAAUUUAUCGCCCCCAUAACGCGACGAAUAUUCUAGCUUGACAUUUCAGGAAAUAUAGGACAUCUUGUUGUUGUUAUGCGGGGAUUCUUUUCGUACAAAU
rnacentral:lncRNA from 1 species